rnacentral:tRNA from 1 species
CCAUUUGUGGCUCAGUGGUCAAUGUUCCAGUCUAUGGAUCAUAGAGUCCCAGGUUCAAGCCCUGCCGGAAACA